rnacentral:rRNA from 1 species
UACGAAGGGGGCUAGCGUUGUUCGGAAUUACUGGGCGUAAAGGGCUCGUAGGCGGCCAACUAAGUCAGACGUGAAAUCCCUCGGCUUAACCAGGGAACUGCAUCUGAUACUGGAUGGCUUGAGUUCGGGAGAGGGAUGCGGAAUUCCAGGUGUAGCGGUGAAAUGCGUAGAUAUCUGGAGGAACACCGGUGGCGAAGGCGGCAUCCUGGACCGACACUGACGCUGAGGAGCGAAAGCCAGGGAGCAAAGCGGA